UACGUAGGGGGCUAGCGUUGUCCGGAUUUAUUGGGCGUAAAGAGCGUGUAGGCGGCCCGGUAAGUCCGCUGUAAAAGUCAAAGGCUCAACCUUUGAAUGUCAGUGGAUACUGCCGGGCUAGAGUCCGGAAGAGGCGAGUGGAAUUCCCGGUGUAGCGGUGAAAUGCGCAGAUAUCAGGAGGAACACCGGUGGCGAAGGCGGGUCUCUGGGCCGAUACUGACGCUGAGGAGCGAAAGCGUGGGGAGCGAACAGG
rnacentral:rRNA from 1 species